ACUCCGCCUUUACAUGCUUCUCAUACAAUCCCAAAAAAUCCUUCUAUUAAAAUCGUAACAAGUGAAGAGAGUGAUGGCUGAAGGACGUUCGUUGAAGAAAUUACCUGUGGUCUGUAUCGGGAUCUCAAAGAACGGCAACGGGCAGUUGGAGGAUCUUAAAGACCUUAAGAUAGUGUGCUCCAAGAUACCUGCGUCUGGGAAGCAAAAAAAAAAGAAGAUACGGCAUUUUAUACGCAUGGCGGAGCAAGGGAACUCCAACUAUGUAAUACUGAUAGAUGGUUCAUACAGUUAUUCGGUAAUAAGCAUCGAUCGUAGACUUUUCAACCUAUGUGAUAACCAUGACAAAAUGAAGAUGGCCCUGGGUAUUAUGGAACCACUUUCACAGCCGUCUGCUUGGCGAAAAUUCAAAGACAAAGCCAUUAUUUGGCUGUUCUACUGUCAAGUAUUCUCAAUAGUUUUUCCAAAAUUUUUAUACAUACUUUCUAAAAUCUAUCAUGCUAUUUAUUAACUAUUUUAAGAGAGAGCUUGAUUAUGUGUAUGCUGUUAUGCGUUUAAAAAUUAAAUGAUGUUUCAAUUUGUUUAA